rnacentral:rRNA from 1 species
CAAUAGCGUAUAUUAAAGUUGUUGCGGUUAAAAAGCUCGUAGUUGGAUUUCUGCUGAGAACGACCGGUCCGCCCUUUGGGUGUGUAUCUGGCUCUUUCUUGGCAUCUUCUUGGUGAGCGUUGCUGCACUUGACUGUGUGGAGCGCUACCCAGGACUUUUACUUUGAGGAAAUUAGAGUGUUUCAAGCAGGCAUACGCCUUGAAUACAUUAGCAUGGAAUAAUAAGAUAGGACCUCGGUUCUAUUUUGUUGGUUUCUAGAGCUGAGGUAAUGAUUAAUAGGGAUAGUUGGGGGCAUUCGUAUUUAACUGCCAGAGGUGAAAUUCUUGGAUUUGUUAAAGACGGACUACUGCGAAAGCAUUUGCCAAGGAUGUUUUCAUUGA